rnacentral:rRNA from 1 species
AUUGAACGCUGGCGGCAUGCCUUACACAUGCAAGUCGAACGGUAACAGGUCUUCGGAUGCUGACGAGUGGCGAACGGGUGAGUAAUACAUCGGAACGUGCCUAGUAGUGGGGGAUAACUACUCGAAAGAGUGGCUAAUACCGCAUGAGAUCUACGGAUGAAAGCAGGGGAUCGCAAGACCUUGUGCUACUAGAGCGGCCGAUGGCAGAUUAGGUAGUUGGUGGGAUAAAAGCUUACCAAGCCGACGAUCUGUAGCUGGUCUGAGAGGACGAUCGGCCACACUGGGACUGAGACACGGCCCAUAGUCCUACGGGAGGCAGCAGUGGGGAAUUUUGGACAAUGGGCGCAAGCCUGAUCCAGCAAUGCCGCGUGCAGGAUGAAGGCCGUCGGGUUGUAAACUGCUUUUGUACGGAACGAAAAGCCCUGGGUUAAUACCCUGGGGUCAUGACGGUACCGUAAGAAUAAGCACCGGCUAACUACGUGCCAGCAGCCGCCGUAA